CUUGUACUCCCUCCGUCCCAAAAUAAGUGUCUUGAACUUAGUAUAAACUUGUACUAUAGCUAGUAUAAAGUUGAGACACUUAUUUUGGGACGGAGGGAGUAGAAU
rnacentral:pre_miRNA from 1 species